GCGCACCAGGCGCGAAAACUUCACACUGUGCGAAAGCACGAUGAGGGAAUCCCAAGUGCUUGCACGUAAGUGUAAGCUGUUUCUCUGUUUAAAACGCAGAGAGAGUAAGGGCUGGGUAAGACGGGUGCCAGCCGCCGCGGUAAUACCUGCAGCUCAAGUGGUGACCAUUAUUAUUGGGCCUAAAACGUCCGUAGCCGGUUUAAUAAAUGCCUGGGUAAAUCGUGUAGCUUAACUAUACGAAUUCCGGGUAGACUGUUAAACUCGAGACCGGGAGAAGUUAGAGGUACUCCUGGGGUAGAGGUGAAAUUCUGUAAUCCCAGGGGGACCACCAGUGGCGAAGGCGUCUAACUAGAACGGGUCUGACGGUGAGGGACGAAGCCCUGGGGCGCAAACGGGAUUAGAUACCCGGGUAGU
rnacentral:rRNA from 1 species